rnacentral:hammerhead_ribozyme from 1 species
AUCCAGCUGACGAGUCCCAAAUAGGACGAAACGAUAAGUGGAU